rnacentral:rRNA from 1 species
AACGUAGGUUCCGAGCGUUAUCCGGAUUUACUGGGCGUAAAGCGCGUUCAGGCGGUUUGGCAAGUCGGGCAUGAAAUCUCUCGGCUCAACCGGGAGAGGUUGUCCGAUACUGCUGGACUUGAGGGCAGUAGAGGGUGGUGGAAUUCCGGGUGUAGUGGUGAAAUGCGUAGAUAUGCGGAGGAACACCAGUGGCGAAGGCGGCCACCUGGACCGUCCCUGACGCUCAAACACGAAAGCUAGGGUAGCGAACGGG